rnacentral:misc_RNA from 1 species
ACCCUUGUGGAGGAGGACGCCGAAGGUGGGGCUAAUGACUGGGGUGAAGUCGUAACAAGGUAGCCGUACCGGAAGGUGCGGCUGGAUCACCUCCUAACAGGGAGACAACAAAAUGUUAAAUAUUAAUUUUGUCACCUUAGGUCGAUCGGUAUCUCACAUUCUUAAUUUAUUUAAGGAUUUUUUUUCCUAAGUUUUUCUAGGUCACACCCAUAAUUUUUCCUGGGCCAUUAGCUCAGGUGGUUAGAGCGCACCCCUGAUAAGGGUGAGGUCCCUGGUUCAAGUCCAGGAUGGCCCAUAUCUCUAUGUUGGGGGUAUAGCUCAGUUGGUAGAGCGCCUGCUUUGCAAGCAGGAUGUCAGCGGUUCGAGUCCGCUUACCUCCACUGAUUACCACCUCUUCCAUGAUUUAUAGAAGGGAAAUCUUUUGAGUUGUGAUCAAAUUCUGAACGAAUCUAGCUUCCUAAUAAUUUUUAUUAAGACGCUGGACUCAUUGAAUUAAUUUCAUUGUUUUCAGAGAACCUUGACAACUGCAUAGAUUAUUUUUAAAGACAAUAAGCAUCUUUAAUGAUGCAGAUUUAUUAUUUGUGCGAAUGCAUUAAUAACAAUUCUAUUAAGCUGAUGCUUCAAUUUUGAAGUUAUUGGUCAAGCUACAAAGGGCUCACGGAGGAUACCUAGGCACACAGAGGCGA